rnacentral:piRNA from 1 species
UAGGGAGGAAAGUGUCACCUUUCUCAAAGC